GUUAAUGAUAAUGGGCCUCUAUUCCCAACCACUCAGGAGACUGAGGCAGGAGGACCACUUGAGCCCAGGAGCUGUGGGCUGUAGGGUGCUGUGCCGAUCAGGCAUCCGCCCUAAGUUCAGCAUCAAUAUGGUGACCUCCUGAGAGCGAGGGGCCACCAGGUUGCCUGAGGAGGGGUGAACUGACCCAGGUCAGAAAUAGAGCUGGUGAGAACUCCAGUGUGGAUCAGCAGUAGGAUCAUGCCUGUGAAUAGUGAAUAGCCACUGCACUCCAGCCAUGGCAACAUAGCGAGACUCCAUGUCUG
ensembl:misc_RNA Metazoa_SRP Metazoan signal recognition particle RNA